CCAGUUACCUGGCAGGGGCAAUACCAUGAUCAAGAAGGUGGUUUGCCCAAAGUGAGGCCCAGCCAUUGCACUCAGGCUGUACUGUAUUUGCAAAUUCCUCAAAUGCAGGAAUCUCGACUGCAUAAUUUUUGAUCAUGGGGACCACGUUUGCGCUCUCCCCUU